UNUGACUUGAGUGCAGAAGGGGAGAGUGGAAUNCCAUGUGUAGCGGUGAAAUGCGUAGAUAUAUGGAGGANCACCAGUGGCGAAAGCGGCUCUCUGNUCUGUCACUGACGCUGAGGCUCGAAAGCGUGGGUAGCGAACAGGAUUAGAUACCCUGGUAGUNCACGCCGUAAACGAUGAGUGCUAGGUGUUAGGCCCUUUCCGGGGCUUAGUGCCGGAGCUAACGCAAUAAGCACUCCGCCUGGGGAGUACGACCGCAAGGUUGAAACUCAAAGGAAUUGACGGGGGCCCGCACAAGCGGUGGAGCAUGUGGUUUAAUUCGAAGCAACGCGAAGAACCUUACCAGGUCUUGACAUCCCGAUGCUAUUCUUAGAGAUAGGAAGUUACUUCGGUACAUCGGAGACAGGUGGUGCAUGGUUGUCGUCAGCUCGUGUCGUGAGAUGUUGGGUUAAGUCCCGCAACGAGCGCAACCCUUAUUGUUAGUUGCCAUCAUUAAGUUGGGCACUCUAGCGAGACUGCCGGUAAUAAACCGGAGGAAGGUGGGGAUGACGUCAAAUCAUCAUGCCCCUUAUGACCUGGGCUACACACGUGCUACAAUGGUCGGUACAACGAGUUGCGAGCCGGUGACGGCAAGCUAAUCUCUGAAAGCCGAUCUCAGUUCGGAUUGGAGGCUGCAACUCGCCUCCAUGAAGUCGGAAUCGCUAGUAAUCGCGGCUCAGCACGCCGCGGUGAAUACGUUCCCGGGCCUUGUACACACCGCCCGUCACACCACGAGAGUUUGUAACACCCGAAGUCGGUGAGGUAACCUUUUAGGGGCCAGCCGC
rnacentral:rRNA from 1 species